rnacentral:rRNA from 1 species
UACGUAGGGCGCGAGCGUUGUCCGGAUUUAUUGGGCGUAAAGAGCGUGUAGGCGGCCUGAAAGGUCAGCUGUGAAAACUCGAGGCUCAACCUCGAGACGUCGGUUGAAACCAUCUGGCUAGAGUCCGGAAGAGGAGAGUGGAAUUCCCGGUGUAGCGGUGAAAUGCGCAGAUAUCGGGAAGAACACCCGUGGCGAAGGCGGCUCUCUGGGACGGUACUGACGCUGAGACGCGAAAGCGUGGGGAGCGAACAGG